rnacentral:rRNA from 1 species
CCUACGGGGGGCAGCAGUCGAGGAUUUUUCUCAAUGGGGGAAACCCUGAAGGAGCGACGCCGCGUGAGGGAUGAAGGUCUUCGGAUUGUAAACCUCUGUCAUCUGGGAUCUAGUACCAGAAGAGGAAGCAGUGGCUAACUCUGUGCCAGCAGCCGCGGUAAUACAGAGACUGCAAGCGUUGUUCGGAUUCAUUGGGCGUAAAGGGUGCGCAGGCGGUGUGCUAAGUCGGAUGUGAAAUCUCACAGCCUAACUGUGAUAGGUCAUUCGAAACUGGCAUGCUAGAGGAUUGGAGAGGAGACUGGAAUAGUUGGUGUAGCAGUGAAAUGCGUAGAGAUCAACUAGAACACCGGUGGCGAAGGCGAGUCUCUGGACAUCCUGACGCUCAGGCACGAAAGCCAGGGGAGCAAACGGGAUUAGAUACCCUUGUAGUC